GGGAAUCUUUUACAAUGCGCGCAAGCGUGAUAAAGCGAGCCAAAGUGUUUCUUUUUUAAGAAACUUUUGCCAGCUGUAAAAAGGCUGGCGAAUAAGGACUGGGCAAGACCGGUGCCAGCCGCCGCGGUAAUCCCGGCAGUCCAAGUCGCAGCCACAAUUAUUGGGUCUAAAACAUCCGUAGCUUGCUUAAGAAGUUCCUUGUGAAAUCUUAAAUCUUAAAUUUAAGGUGUGCAAGGAAUACUCUUGAGCUAGAGACCGGCAGGCGUAAGAAGUACAGUGGGGGUAGUGGUAAAAUAUUUUAAUCCCCAUUGGACUCACAGUCGCGAAGGCGUCUUACGAGAACGGCUCUGACAGUGAGGGAUGAAGGCUAGGGGCGCAAAAGGGAUUAGAUACCCCUGUAGUCCUAGCAGUAAACACUGCGCACUAAACAUCAGUACCUCCUCGAGAGGCAUUGGUGCUGUAGCGAAGGCGAAGAGUGCGCUACCUGGGAAGUAUAGUCGCAAGGCCGAAACU
rnacentral:rRNA from 1 species